GACCCAGCAAUUCCACUCCUAGAUGAAUUCUCCCAAAGAAUUGAGAACAGGUCUUGCAAAUUCCGCCCUCUCCCUAAAGGAAUGUGGAGACUGCCACGGUGUGAAGAAAGAUCAGGUGGAGAGAGCUGCCCAGCUGUCCGGGCUGGUCCCCCUGCCCACCCCCCAAACCAGGUUCCUGCCAUAUGAGGAAGGCGUGUUCGACCACCAGCCACAGCGGAUUGACGCAGUUGCCAGAGAGAGCCCGGUUGACUACACUGGCAAGCAAACCCAGUCGAGCCAAGUCAAGCCAAGGCAUUGUGAGAAAUAA